GUUUCUCUGCAGCCCCGAAGCUCGCGAAUGUAGCAGGCGCCCCAAGCUCGGUCCUCAAGAAGCCAUGGCGGAGUCCAGGGGCCGUCUGUACCUUUGGAUGUGCUUGGCUGCUGCGCUGGCAUCUUUCCUGAUGGGAUUGAUGGCUGGUUUAUUAAGCCUCUCAAAGAAACAACCACUUCUGUGCGCUAUCAUCAAAGUAUACGGUGGAAACUGGUAUCCGAAAUGAAAGCUGAAAACAUCAAAUCAUUUCUUCGUUCUUUUACAAAGCUUCCUCAUCUGGCAGGAACAGAACAAAAUUUCUUGCUUGCCAAGAAAAUCCAAACCCAGUGGAAGAAAUUUGGACUAGAUUCAGCCAAGUUGGUUCAUUAUGAUGUCCUCUUAUCUUACCCCAAUGAGACAAAUGCCAACUAUAUAUCGAUUGUGGAUGAACAUGAAACUGAGAUUUUCAAAACAUCAUACCUCGAACCACCACCAGAUGGCUAUGAGAAUGUUACAAAUAUUGUGCCACCAUAUAAUGCUUUCUCAGCCCAAGGCAUGCCAGAGGGAGAUCUUGUAUAUGUGAACUAUGCUCGCACUGAAGACUUUUUCAAACUAGAAAGAGAGAUGGGCAUCAACUGUACUGGGAAGAUUGUUAUUGCAAGAUAUGGAAAAAUCUUCAGAGGAAAUAAAGUUAAAAAUGCCAUGUUAGCAGGAGCCAUAGGAAUCAUCUUGUACUCAGAUCCAGCUGACUACUUUGCUCCUGAGGUACAGCCAUAUCCCAAAGGAUGGAAUCUUCCUGGAACUGCAGCCCAGAGAGGAAAUGUGUUAAAUUUGAAUGGUGCUGGUGACCCACUCACUCCAGGCUAUCCAGCAAAAGAAUACACUUUCAGACUUGAUGUUGAAGAAGGAGUGGGAAUCCCCCGAAUACCUGUACAUCCCAUUGGAUAUAAUGAUGCAGAAAUAUUAUUACGGUAUAGUUUUCUUGUUGGAUAUGAGAUUAAGAUAUUUUGCACUAGGUGUCUAUUUUCUCAUUGAAAACCAAUAUGGCAUUCUUAUGUUAAACACAAAGUUUUAUAACUAAAUAACUGGUGAAAUAGGAAUAACAGAGUAUACUAUCUUUUUAUUUCAUAAAAGUAGUCAUUUUAGUGACUAAGAAAUCAAAAUAAAAUAUCGCUCUGUUUGCUACAAAUGAAAUUCUCAAAUACAAAGCUAUGUCCUAAGAUAAUUCUCAUUUGAGAUUUUUCAAGCAAUUGAAUUUUCAUAGGUAUUCAUUAGAUAUUUAUAUUCAACGUCUAGUAUAAGAAUAUGACAAUGCCCCCCACUUACUAGAGGUAUGACCUUGGAUCAGUUGCUUAAACUUUCUCCAGCUCAGUUUCUUUAUUUGUAAGAUGAGGCUAGUAACUGUUUCUCCUUGAUAGGGUUAUUAUGAGAUCAUAUGAGUAAAAUACAUAGCACCGUAUUUAGAAUAUAGUAAACAAACAAUUAUUGUAUUCUAUAACUGAUAUUUCUUUACAUAUCCCCCAACUCCCAUUUUUAAAUGCCUGUAUGUGUAUUACAACUUAAUAAUUGUUUGGGUGCCUACUGUGUAAUCAGCAGCUUUUUUGCAAAUACAUUUCUUCUCCUUAAUGCAGUCAUUAAUUUCCUGUAUUUAGGAUAUCUUGGAUUCAGUGAGUCCCCACAUAAAUAAUUAAGGUCAAAAAUAAGGAGAUAGCCUUCCCAUUUGCCAUGACUACUUUAUUUUUUCUCUUUGCUCUCAUCACUAACAUAUUAUGUAUUUUACUUACUGAUUUCAGUAUGGCUCUCUUGCUAGAAAAUGAGCUCCACAAAGGGCGGGCUUUUUGACAGUACCUGGCACUUAGUAAAUGACAAAUAUUUGUUAUAUAUAUGAAUGAAAUAUUGUCAUCAAACUUUAAAAUUUCUCCUUAGAAAUUGUGGUAGCCUUUUUCUGUCACUUUCAUUUUAUUUUGUCAGCUACUUGGGAGGAAUUGCUCCACCAGAUAAGAGUUGGAAGGGAGCCCUUAAUGUGAGUUAUAGUAUCGGACCUGGCUUUACAGGGAGUGAUUCUUUCAGGAAGGUUAGAAUGCAUGUUUAUAACAUCAAUAAAAUUACAAGGAUUUACAAUGUAGUUGGAACUAUCAGAGGAUCUGUGGAACCUGACAGGUAUGUUAUUCUGGGAGGUCACCGGGACUCCUGGGUAUUUGGAGCUAUUGACCCAACCAGUGGGGUUGCUGUUUUGCAAGAAAUUGCCCGGAGUUUUGGAAAACUGAUGAGUAAAGGCUGGAGACCUAGAAGAACUAUCAUUUUUGCCAGCUGGGAUGCAGAAGAAUUUGGACUUCUGGGUUCCACAGAAUGGGCUGAGGUAAAUAAGACAAAGAAGGUUCUUAUUAUUUUUUUGGUCAACAGGGAACAAAUAUGUAUGUAUCUCAGGAUGAUCAAAAAUAUAUUCCAUUACCUAAUAUGGUUUUGUUUUGGAGAAUGACUCAAGACAAUUUAAGAAAUAGUUUAUUUUUACUUUCACAUCAGUUAGGCAAUAACCUUUUAGUACUAGACUGCAGACAGAGUUAUUGCCUCUUGUCAAAAUAUUUUCGUUGCCAUUUGCAUUUGUUUUAUAAAAAAUAAGAAAAAUCAGUAAGCUCAGAAAAUAAUCAAAAUUAAUGAGAUAUUUUUGAUGAUAAUUUACUUAUCUAAAAACUGAUACUGAUGCUUAGAGCUAAUUUUCAAGUUUUUGAAGUUUCUUUAGAGUUCUUCCAUCUGAGAAAAUAUAAGGUGUUCUAUUAAGAUGGCCAUAUAUUGACUAUAUUUUCACAUUGACAGAUUCCAUUUAAAAUGGCAACCAUAAGUAUACUUUAGCAUUUACAACAGAUAUGUGCUUCAUUGUUAAGUAUAAAGUGAUAAUUCUGUGAAUUGAAUUACUUUAAUAAAUUGACCUGCUUUACAAUUUCA
rnacentral:sRNA from 1 species